GAUGAACGCUGGCGGCGUGCCUAAUACAUGCAAGUCGAGCGGACAGAUGAGGAGCUUGCUCCUCUGACGUUAGCGGCGGACGGGUGAGUAACACGUGGAUAACCUACCUAUAAGACUGGGAUAACUUCGGGAAACCGGAGCUAAUACCGGAUAAUAUAUUGAACCGCAUGGUUCAAUAGUGGAAGACGGUUUUGCUGUCACUUAUAGAUGGAUCCGCGCCGCAUUAGCUAGUUGGUAAGGUAACGGCUUACCAAGGCAACGAUGCGUAGCCGACCUGAGAGGGUGAUCGGCCACACUGGAACUGAGACACGGUCCAGACUCCUACGGGAGGCAGCAGUAGGGAAUCUUCCGCAAUGGGCGAAAGCCUGACGGAGCAACGCCGCGUGAGUGAUGAAGGUCUUCGGAUCGUAAAACUCUGUUAUUAGGGAAGAACAAAUGUGUAAGUAACUAUGCACGUCUUGACGGUACCUAAUCAGAAAGCCACGGCUAACUACGUG
rnacentral:rRNA from 1 species